GAAUCUAGAUUUUAGUUAGAACAUAAGAAAAAAGAUAUCGCUGGCGGGGCGGGUAGGGUUUGUUCCUAAAAUAAAUUAGGAAUAGUACCGGUCUUUUCCCGGAGCGUGCGGUGCACUUGUUGUUGCUCCAUUCCUUUUAAUGACCCGAAUAAAGCUUGUUGUACCGCGGUCUGUGCCGAUUUCGGAUGAGAUUGCAAUAACGAUGAAAAUCGAUAUGAGAUAGGUCUGCAUCUGAAACCAGGGGGGGAGGAAAGGAACAAAAGGGGACUUUCCUAUCGUUUUGUGAGAGGAGCGGCCCUUGAACUCCACUCGUCCUAUUUUACAGGAGGGGGGGUGGGGAUUUUGUGUAUUGGUGGAAACCUGACGACGACCCUGUGAGUUAAUUGUUUUCGUAUAUUAACUUAAUGAUUGUGAAUGUGGAUGGUAUUUGUA
rnacentral:rRNA from 1 species